rnacentral:rRNA from 1 species
GACAGAGGGUGCAAACGUUGCUCGGAAUUACUGGGCGUAAAGGGCGUGUAGGCGGGAAGGCAAGUCGGGCGUGAAAUCCCCAGGCUCAACCUGGGAACUGCACUCGAAACUGCCUUUCUUGAGUGCCGGAGAGGAAAGCGGAAUUCCUGGUGUAGAGGUGAAAUUCGUAGAUAUCAGGAGGAACACCAGUGGCGAAGGCGGCUUUCUGGACGGUAACUGACGCUGAGAACGCGGAAAGCGUGGGGGAGCAAACAGG